UGACUAAACUGAUGUUUUCUCUGUAAUGG
rnacentral:piRNA from 1 species